AGUGAACGCUGGCGGUAGGCCUAACACAUGCAAGUCGAACGGCAGCACAGUAAGAGCUUGCUCUUACGGGUGGCGAGUGGCGGACGGGUGAGGAAUACAUCGGAAUCUACUUUUUCGUGGGGGAUAACGUAGGGAAACUUACGCUAAUACCGCAUACGACCUACGGGUGAAAGCAGGGGAUCUUCGGACCUUGCGCGAUUGAAUGAGCCGAUGUCGGAUUAGCUAGUUGGCGGGGUAAAGGCCCACCAAGGCGACGAUCCGUAGCUGGUCUGAGAGGAUGAUCAGCCACACUGGAACUGAGACACGGUACAGACUCCGACGGGAGGCAGAAGUGGGGAAUAUUGGACAAUGGGCGCAAGCCUGAUCCAGCCAUACCGCGUGGGUGAAGAAGGCCUUCGGGUUGUAAAGCCCUUUUGUUGGGAAAGAAAAGCAGCAGGUUAAUACCCCGCUGUUCUGACGGUACCCAAAGAAUAAGCACCGGCUAACUUCGU
rnacentral:rRNA from 1 species